CAACUGGAAACGGUUGCUAAUACCCCAUAUGCUUUUGAGUGAAACGGUUUUUCCGCCUAAAGAGAAGCUUGCGGCUGAUUAGCUUGUUGGUGAGGUAAUGGCUCACCAAGGCGACGAUCAGUAUCUGGUUUGAGAGGACGAUCAGACACACUGGAACUGAGACACGGUCCAGACUCCUACGGGAGGCAGCAGUGGGGAAUUUUCCGCAAUGGGCGAAAGCCUGACGGAGCAAUACCGCGUGAGGGAUGACGGCCUAUGGGUUGUAAACCUCUUUUUUCAGGGAGGAAUCAAUGACGUGUACCUGAGGAAUAAGCAUCGGCUAACUCCGUGCCAGCAGCCGCGGUAAGACGGAGGAUGCAAGUGUUAUCCGGAAUCACUGGGCGUAAAGCGUCUGUAGGUGGUCAAAUAAGUCAACUGUUAAAUCUUGAGGCUCAACCUCAAAAUCGCAGUCGAAACUAUUCAGACUAGAGUAUAGUAGGGGUAAAGGGAAUUUCCAGUGGAGCGGUGAAAUGCGUAGAGAUUGGAAAGAACACCGAUGGCGAAGGCACUUUACUGGGCUAUUACUAACACUGAGAGACGAAAGCUAGGG
rnacentral:rRNA from 1 species